ACAUGGGCACCUACAGAUUUGGUGUCAGAAGUCCUUGCGCCCACCGCCUACAGAUUUGGUAUCAGAAGUGUUCGAACCAUCCAUUACAGCACUGGCCUACAGAUCAGGUAUCUGGAGUCGUCAACACCGCCGCUGCAGGACUGACACCACAGAGUUGCGGUCAGAACUGUCGACUCUAUGCAGACUUGUGGCACUGCCUAUCAAAUAUAAUUCAAGCUGAGGAGAUGAAAGACUUUGGUGAUGGAAGCCACAGGGCUUUAGUUCUCCACUAAGAAUAGGUGUGCUCGGUUGUCUUGGACACUCCUAAUGUCCCCUGUGACAGGUCAG